GAAAGAGAGAGAGGGAGACACACACACAGAGAGAGAGAGAGACAGGCUGGUUAUUUCUUUGGGGGGGAAGCAAAAAAAGGGAGCCUUCGACGCUGCGGAUAUGAACUGAAAAAACAAGCCAGGGAUCGUGUUCCUCAAAAUCAACCCCCCCACCCGAACAAAAUUUAGUGCAAAGGUGGGAAACUAGCCCCCCACCCUUCUUGAAAACCCCCUCCUGUCGUCCUCCACAGUUGUGUUCAGAUAGAGCUACACCCAAAGCUACACCCGGCCGACCCCCUCCUGCUCUGCUGCUCCACCCCUCCGCCGCUGCACCGCUCCGGCAACCGAGAUGCACACGGAGACCCGUAACAAGAAAUGCCAGUCGACUCCUAAGCAGAGGAAGAGUGCCGUUGGCGCCCAGAAGAAGCAGAAGAGCACGGCCAAACAGAGCAGCGCCCUGACCCCACAGCAGCAGCAACCGCAACCGCCGCCACCUAAAGGCCGGGGAGAAGCAGAGGAGGAGAAGAAGAAGAAGAGGAAGAGGACGACGAAAGAGAGGGUUCCUCUAACUAGGCCUCAUCCACCGCAGAAAGAGGAGGAAGAGGAAGGAGGAGGAAGCAAGGAGGAGAGGGAGGAAGUGGCAGCAGAGUCCAAGGUGAAGGAGGAAGGGAAGGAGCGGGAGGAAGAGGAAGAGGAGGAGGAGGAGGAGGAAGAAGAGGAGGAGGGGAGCAGGACAGACAUGCCCUCUAUACAGAUCAAACCAGAGCCAGAGGAGAUGGAGUGCACGGUGAGGAGGGGGGGGGGGGUGCGACAGGGCAUUGUUUGGGGAGAGGGGGAGAUUGAAAGGGAUGAUGGGAGUCAGGUGGGUGUGAGCAGGUGUGGCUGCGAUGGCGUCAGCUGACAGUCAGAACACACACACACACACACACACACUUCUAAUCUAACAGCCACAGACUGAUCGACUGUAGGUUUAUGUGACAGCAGAAGAGUUAUCGAAUGAGUUUUGAAUCAGGUGGUCCUGGUCACAUGACACGUCCAUGUGGUCCAGUGUCAACUUUUAGUGCCUCAUUAGUCCUUAACAUGGAAAAACUAAUACUAUGAUAGUCCUGUGAUUAGUGACUUUAAAGGUGCAGGAGACUUUCGUGAUCAAUUUUUCAUCAACUCUGUCCAUCCUCAGUCCUAUCCUCAGUAUCAUGGAUCUGUUCGUCUGUCUGUCAUUACUCACCUGAAUCUCUUCCAUUACGCUGAACAGUUUCUUAUGCCGCGUUUUCACUACAUGGUUUCGCUCGACUCAACUUGACUCGUCCUUUUUGCAUUUCCAUUACGAAAAGGACCUGGAAUCUGGUACCUGGUACUAGUUUUUUGGUAUCACCUCCGCUGAGGUUCCAGGACCGGGGACCAGAUACUAAAAGGUGACGUGUAAACACUGCAGACCACUGAUUGGUCAGAGUCGUCUCUGUGACCCGCCAUUUUUCAAAAAACAGAUGCAGAAGUUGACAGUGAAUAUAGACAAAACUACACCAUUCGGUCAGGAGAUUCCAUCUUUGGUGGCCGACGUAAAAAUUCAGCAUGAGUUUGAUGAGAAAACACAUAACGAACAAGUUUAUCAGCAACUCUGAGCAGACGACACAGAAGUAACACACAGCAUCGCCAUGACGACCAGGUACUGUAAAGUGGAAUGGAAACAGUCUCCAGGAAUAGGACCUGGUACUCGAGUCAAGAUGAGCCGAGUCGAGUCGAGCCAGUUCCAUGUAGUGGAAAUGCGGCAUUAGUUCCAUCCACCAGAAACAAACCAUGUGUUUACAAACAGAGCCUGGAGGGAGCUCAGGCAUCUGAAGAAUUUUGUUGCGACGUACAUUGUGGGAAAGGGAGGUUCGCACAGCUGCCUGACGGAUAUGAUAUUAUAUGGAUGAAACAAACACGAUGCGGAAACGGCUGAAACACAGGAACGGCUGGAGGAAUAUGCAUAGAGGGAAGGGAGCUCCUGCCGUUUCAGCGUCAUGUCUGUUCCAGCUGCUGCUGCAGGCAGCUGCACAAAUCUUCAUUUCCCACAAUGCACGUUGCGACAAAAUUCCAAAGAUGCCUGAGUUCCCUCCUGGCUCUGUUUGUAAACACACGGUUUGUUUCUGGUGGAUGGAACUAAGAAACUGUUCACCGUAAUGCACGAGAUUCAGCUGAGUAAUGACAGACAGACUUACAGAUUCAUGAUACUGAGGAUAGGACUGAGGUUUGACAGAUUUGAUGAAAAAUUGGUCACGAAAGUCUCCUGCACCUUUAACAUGGAAAAAAAAAUACUAUGAUAGUCCUGUGAUUAAUGACUUUAAAUCUGUCACUUAGACAUUUGAAAUGGUUGAAAUACAACACCCAAACGAGUAGAAGAGUGAAAUAAACAUGAAAAAUCUAAUGUAAAUAAAUGUAAAUGAAGAAUAACACCAUAAGAACUCUGCAGUAAUGUGAGCAGUCAUCACCUGAACGGUGGCACUUGAGGACAAACACUGUGAGUGGAACGUUGGCUGAAUGUUGGCGUCUGGCCUGAGUCAAUACUAACAGAACUUCUGUGGAAACACUGUGGUUUAGUCCCAACAAUGGCACCGACUUAUUUACACUGAACUGACCUUAUGUCUUCUGUGCAGUUCAAUUACUUUUCCUGUUUCAACUUCAGAAACCGGCAAAUGUUUCUCCAAAAUUUGGAAAACCAGGACUUUCUGCUGUAGUUUUAGUAUAAAUUAUGUCAUUUUGUAAAAUUGCACCUAUACAUGAAUGAUGUGGGCGUCAACAGUUUUAUCUGUUCCAUAGUCUCAUAUUUGACUCAUUAGUUUGGAUGUUGAACUCACUGAGGAGUGAAUACAGGAGCGUCCUGUUGGACAGUCCAGGUGUCCAUGCAGAUGUUAAUGAUGAUUGUACUGGAAGAUUGAAAAAAGGGAUGAAGGGAUGAGUAAAGAGGACAGAGGGUUUGGAUGGAGGACAGUUCCAUACCUCCGCUUUUUUCUUCUUAAUGUUUACAGUUUUUAUCCUAAUGCACUUUAUGAUCAGAAGUAAGUAAACUAUAGGAGCAAAUUAUCAUUAGAUUAGAUUAGAUUAGAUGGGAUUGGAUUGGAUCAGAUCGAACUUUAUUGAUCCUUUGAGCAGAACCCUCAGGAAAUGGAGGUUCAAAUUGCAGCACAAACACCAAAUAUAGACACAACAAAUACCACAAGAAAAAGGCCAAAAAUAACUAUAAAAAACAAGAGGGAAUAAUGCAAUUGCACAUUGGAAACAACUAGUAGAAACAAGUGGCAAAGUAAUAAAGUAAUAAUAAUAAUAAGUACCUUAUUAUGCUAUAAUAUUAUAAUAUAAUAUCAUAGUAUGCACGAUAUUGUCCAUCUAUACAAUCAAUACUCUAUCUAUCUAUCUAUCUAUCUAUCUAUCUAUCUAUCUAUCUAUCUAUCUAUCUAUCUAUCUAUCUAUCUAUCUAUCUAUCUAUCUAUCUAUCUAUCUAUCUAUCUAUCUAUCUAUCUAUCUAUCUAUCUAUCUAUCUAUCUCAGGAUAAAAGUUAUAAUAAAGUGAUAACAGUAAUAUAACAGUAAUAGUAGUCAUAACAAUGAUAUACUAAAAUUAUGUAAGUAAUUUUUUUUUAUUGAUGUAUUUCGAAUAUGGAAGUGAUACAAGCUUCCUGAUAACUACUAAUUGACUUCUUUGCACAACAUAAUAUAGAGAUGAAAAUUCAAGGAAGCAUAAAAUAAUGAUACACGCAAAAAGAAAAAGAGAAAAAGUCAUAUUCGAAAAGGAGUGAGAAGAAGCAGAGCUUAUUAGCUCUCACUCUUUUGUCUAAGCCACAGGUGUCAAACAUGCGGCCCGGGGGCCAAAUCCGGCCCACCAAACAGUCCAAUCUGGCCCCUGGGAUGAAUUUGUGAAAUACAAAAAUUACACUGAAAAUAUUAAAUAUCAAGGAUGCUGAAAUCAUUUUAGGUCAUUUCAGUCUAAAGUGGAUCAGACCAGUAAAAUACUAUCAUAAUAACUUAUAAAUAAUGAAAACUGUAAGUUUGUCUCUUUGUUUUAUUGUAAAAAAAAAAAAAAAAAAAGUAAAAUUACACAAAAAUGUUUAUAUUUACAGACUAGUCUGUUACAAAAAAAAAAAAAAAAAGUGAAUAUCUGAAAUGUCUUAAGAGAAGUAUGUGGAAUUUUAAUAAUAUUCAACCUGUUAUUCAAUGUUUGGUGUAUUUGUAGAUCCACUGUGAUCUGUGAGUUGUCAUUCACAUGUAUAAAUGAUCAACUAAGGCGUAAUAUUGUUAACAUUGCACUUAUUUUACGAACAAAAUUCAGGUUGUUCAUGUUAUGUUCGAGUACAAUUCGUAGAUGUAAACAUUUUCAUUAGAGAAAUUACUUUUUUCACUCAGAAGUUCUUAUCUUAUUAUUUAUAUUAUUGUACUGGUCCGGCCCACUUUAGAUCCAUAUUAGGCUGAAUGUGGCCCCUGAACUAAAAUGAGUUUGACACCCCUGGUCUAAGCCAACAAUAUAUACAUACAUACAUAUACACAUACAUACAUAUAUACACCCAUAUAUGUACACACACACACACUAUAUAUAUAUACACACACACGCAUAUAUGUAUAUAGACACACACAUAUACAUUCACAUAGGCUUCUCCAAUAUUGUAAUAAUGAUAAUAUGUAAGUAAUAAUAAUAAUAUGUAAGUAGUAGUAGUAGUAGUAAUAAUAAUAAUAAUAAUAAUAAUAAUAAAUAAGACUGCAUUUAUUCAUUAGCGAUUAUUUCUUUUAGUCUAAAAUGUCAAAAAUUAAUCUAUGUAAUUAUAAAGCAUCAUAAACAAAGCAAGAAAAUAAGAGAGACAACCUUAAAAAUGGAAAUGAAAUCAGAUGUUUUCCUUUCACAAAGACUAAUGAAUUAAAGUUGCAUUUUUCCACUUGGGAGCAUUCAGAGGACAGAGGAAUGAGGACAAUGUGCCGCUGUAACGACACCCUUCGGUAACAGUGUGAAUGUAAAGUCAGAGCAGAGCAGGUGGAAUGUUAGCGUCAGGUUGGGCUCAGAUGUGAAACUAACUUCACCAUCAC
rnacentral:lncRNA from 1 species